CGGACGGGUGAGUAAUGUCUGGGAAACUGCCCGAUGGAGGGGGAUAACUACUGGAAACGGUAGCUAAUACCGCAUAACGUCGCAAGACCAAAGAGGGGACCUUCGGGCCUCUUGCCAUCGGAUGUGCCCAGAUGGGAUUAGCUAGUAGGUGGGUAACGGCUCACCUAGGUGACGAUCCCUAGCUGGUCUGAGAGGAUGACCAGCCACACUGGAACUGAGACACGGUCCAG
rnacentral:rRNA from 1 species